GCCCCAACAAUGUAAAGAACUGGCCGAAGCAGCAAAGGCAAAGUGACAUCCAGUGACAUCCGGGAAUGUUCUGCCACUGGGCGGGGCUUCGACCCAGGGACCCUGAAGGCUGCAGCAGGGCGCUCCAGAGUCUCCCCGAAGCCCAGGGCUCUUCCCUGCCACCAGCUAGCUCUGCUCCAGCCAGGCCCAGAGAACAUGUCUGUGCCAGCAAAUGCGAGCCCCAGCAGGUCCAGUCCAGGUGCUACGGGUAGAAAAACAGGUGGUUGCGUGGUGGGGCUGAAGUGCAGGGCUUGGACUUUGAUCCUGCCAAGAGUGAAACCUCUGACGUGGUCGGUCGUGAGUGUUGUUCCAAAGUCAGUUAAAAAGUUCAACAUGGAAGAUCUUGGCUGCUACAAAGCAAGCUGUUUCGGCUGCCACAGGCCCCUGCAUGACAUUCUGUCUCACUUCAGACUCAGAGCAUCAAGGCCAAGCAACCACAGACAGCAACUGUGAGGCAAAAUACACCUUUUCUCUUUUUAAAUUGAUUUAUCUUGGCUGUUUGUCACAGUGGUAGAAAACUAAUACAGCCUUAGUGCGAUCAU